UGAUUAAGCCAUGCGAGUCGAGAGGGUUCGGCCCUCGGCGUACUGCUCAGUAACACGUGGAUAACCUGCCCUAGGGAAGGGGAUAAUCCCGGGAAACUGGGGAUAAUACCCUAUAGGUUACAGAUGCUGGAAUGCUCUGUAAUCAAAAGUUCCGGCGCCCUAGGAUGGAUCUGCGGCCGAUUAGGUUGUUGUUGGGGUAAUGGCCCAACAAGCCAGUAAUCGGUACGGGUUGUGGGAGCAAGAGCCCGGAGUUGGAUUCUGAGACACGAAUCCAGGCCCUACGGGGCGCAGCAGGCGCGAAAACUUUACAAUGCGGGCAACCGUGAUAAGGGAACCUCGAGUGCCUGCAAAUGCAGGCUGUUCAGAUGCCUAAAACACAUCUGGAGAAAGGGCCGGGCAAGACCGGUGCCAGCCGCCGCGGUAAUACCGGCGGCUCGAGUGGUGGCCACUUUUAUUGGGCUUAAAGCGUUCGUAGCUGGGUUGUUAAGUCUCUUGGGAAAUCUGGCGGCUUAACCGUCAGGCGUCUAAGGGAUACUGGCAAUCUUGGAACCGGGAGAGGUGAGGGGUACUUCGGGGGUAGGAGUGAAAUCCUGUAAUCCUCGAGGGACCACCUGUGGCGAAGGCGCCUCACCAGAACGGCUUCGACAGUGAGGGACGGAAGCUGGGGGAGCAAACCGGAUUAGAUACCCGGGUAGUCCCAGCCGUAAACUAUGCGCGUUAGGUGUAUCGGUGACCACGAGUUACCGAGGUGCCGAAGGGAAACCGUGAAACGUGCCGCCUGGGAAGUACGGUCGCAAGGCUGAAACUUAAAGGAAUUGGCGGGGGAGCA
rnacentral:rRNA from 1 species